UAAUAUUGUUUACAUAUAGGCUAUGACAUCAUGAAUGCUUCCCUCAUUCUUUUCAUUUAUUAAAAAAAAAUAACUUUCCUCACUUUUUUAAUUGUUCAUAUGCAGAGAACAUGGGAACGGGCAAAAAUGGCAACUACAUUGGAUCAUGUCGUUGUGGCAACUGAUGAUGAAAAGAUUGCUGAAUGCUGUCGAGGAUUUGGUGCUGAUGUGAUAAUGACAUCAGAAUCUUGCCGAAACGGUACUGAGCGUUGAAAUGAAGCACUACAAAAGCUCAAGGAAAAAUAUGAUGUUGUCGUCAAUAUUCAAGGGGAUGAACCUCUAAUUGAUCCGGAAGUAAUAGAUGGGAUUGUCAAAGCACUGCAGGUAAAUUUGUUUCUAUUUGAUUUUCUCUCAAUGAAGUGUCACUAUGACCUCGUAAACAAAGAAUCUGUGCUGUUCUUUGCCUAAAUUCAGAAGUUCCCUGAUUGUUCAUAUCAGCAACAUGACAUGAAUUCUGAACAUACUGGAAUGUCACAGUAGAUUCCAUGCGUGACUGAUCUUAGGGUUCCAAAAGAGCACAGCAUCUGUUGUCUUGUCUGAGUUUCACAAAGGAAAGCCUUACUCAAAAUGGGAAUGGGUUUGAAUAUAGGCUGAAACAUGAGUUGAAGGGUCCUAGCUAUGGUCUUCUCGAUUCACCACUGCGAGAUUUUAAAUGCAUGUCCUUGACUGGGUUAUAAGAAGCCAUUUCUGUCUGGAGUUUUCUAAUUUACCUGGGAAUAAUUUCCACAAUGUGCCUUACAUCACUACUGCUUUGAUGGAUGCGAAGCUUGGCACGGAAGGGCGCAAGGAUCUUUUUGAUUGGCUAUCAAGGCAACUUAGUGGAUUAAGCAAUUUUCCUGAUGCUGUAAAUCUGAAUUAUGUAUUGUUUCAAUUUGUUAUGCUAGAUGGAUGUGACUUGUGAAUGAAAACUUAGAAUAGUUGUAUUGUGUCGAAUGUUAAUGAAUUAUGUAUUGUGUCGAAUGUUAA